rnacentral:rRNA from 1 species
GGCCUACCAUGGUUUUAACGGGUAACGGGGAAUUAGGGUUCGAUUCCGGAGAGGGAGCCUGAGAAACGGCUACCACAUCCAAGGAAGGCAGCAGGCGCGCAAAUUACCCAAUCCCAAUACGGGGAGGUAGUGACAAUAAAUAACAAUAUAGGGCCCUUACGGGUUUUGUAAUUGGAAUGAGUACAAUUUAAAUCUCUUAACGAGGAACAAUUGGAGGGCAAGUCUGGUGCCAGCAGCCGCGGUAAUUCCAGCUCCAAUAGCGUAUAUUAAAGUUGUUGCAGUUAAAAAGCUCGUAGUUGAAUUUCGGGAUUUGUCAGUUGGUCGGGCUUCACUGUUCGUACUGGCUUGAUGGAUUCUUACCUUCUGAAUAACCAGCAUGCUAUUAAGUUAGUGCGUUGGGGAAGCAGAUCUAUUACCUUGAAAAAAUUAGAGUGCUUAAAGCGGGCUUGUGCUUGAAUAGAUUAGCAUGGAAUAAUAAAAUAGGACGGCAUGGUUCUAUUUUGUUGGUUUCUAGGAUCACCGUAAUGAUUAAUAGGGAUAGUUGGGGGCAUUAGUAUUCAAUUGUCAGAGGUGAAAUUCUUGGAUUUAUUGAAGACUAACUUCUGCGAAAGCAUUUGCCAAGGAUGUUUUCAUUAAUCAAGAACGAAAGUUAGGGGAUCGAAGACGAUCAGAUACCGUCGUAGUCUUAACCAUAAACUAUGCCGACUAGGAAUCGGACGAUGUUAAUUUUAUAAUGACUCCC